AGUGAACGCUGGCGGUAGGCCUAACACAUGCAAGUCGAACGGCAGCACAGUAAGAGCUUGCUCUUACGGGUGGCGAGUGGCGGACGGGUGAGAAAUACAUCGGAAUCUACUUUUUCGUGGGGGAUAACGUAGGGACACUUACGCUAAUACCGCAUACGACCUACGGGUGAAAGCAGGGGAUCUUCGGCCCUUGCGCGAUUGAAUGAGCCGAUGUCGGAUUAGCUAGUUGGCGGGGUAAAGGCCCACCAAGGCGACGAUCCGUAGCUGGUCUGAGAGGAUGAUCAGCCACACUGGAACUGAGACACGGUCCAGACUCCUAAGGGAGGCAGCAGUGGGGAAUAUUGGACAAUGGGCGCAAGCCUGAUCCAGCCAUACCGCGUGGGUGAAGAAGGCCUUCGGGUUGUAAAGCACUUUUGUUGGGAAAGAAAAGCGGCAGGUUAAUACCCCGCUGUUCUGACGGUACCAAAAGAAUAAGCACCGGCUAACUUCGUG
rnacentral:rRNA from 1 species